AUUGAACGCUGGCGGCAGGCCUAACACAUGCAAGUCGAGCGGAUGAAGGGAGCUUGCUCCUGGAUUCAGCGGCGGACGGGUGAGUAAUGCCUAGGAAUCUGCCUGGUAGUGGGGGAUAACGUCCGGAAACGGGCGCUAAUACCGCAUACGUCCUGAGGGAGAAAGUGGGGGAUCUUCGGACCUCACGCUAUCAGAUGAGCCUAGGUCGGAUUAGCUAGUUGGUGGGGUAAAGGCCUACCAAGGCGACGAUCCGUAACUGGUCUGAGAGGAUGAUCAGUCACACUGGAACUGAGACACGGUCCAGACUCCUGCGGGAGGCAGCAGUGGGGAAUAUUGGACAAUGGGCGAAAGCCUGAUCCAGCCAUGCCGCGUGUGUGAAGAAGGUCUUCGGAUUGUAAAGCACUUUAAGUUGGGGGGAAGGGCAGUAAGUUAAUACCUUGCUGUUUUGACGUUACCAACAGAAUAAGCACCGGCUAACUUCGUG
rnacentral:rRNA from 1 species